AUGAUGUCCUCUGCUCAGUUCCUUGGUCUCCUGUUGCUUUGUUUUCAAGGUACCAGAUAUGAUAUCCAGAUGACACAGACUACUUCCUCCCUGUCUGCCUCUCUGGGAGACAGAGUCACCAUCAGUUGCAGGGCAAGUGAGGACAUUAGCACUUAUUUAAACUGGUAUCAGCAGAAACCAGAUGGAACUGUUAAACUCCUGAUCUAUUACACAUCAGGAUUACACUCAGGAGUCCCAUCAAGGUUCAGUGGCAGUGGGUCUGGGGCAGAUUAUUCUCUCACCAUCAGCAACCUGGAACCUGAAGAUAUUGCCACUUACUAUUGUCAGCAGUAUAGUAAGCUUCCUCC